rnacentral:rRNA from 1 species
GACGAACGCUGGCGGCGUGCUUAACACAUGCAAGUCGAACGGAAAGGCCCUGCUUUUGUGGGGUGCUCGAGUGGCGAACGGGUGAGUAACACGUGAGUAACCUGCCCUUGACUUUGGGAUAACUUCAGGAAACUGGGGCUAAUACCGGAUAGGAGCUCCUGCUGCAUGUUGGGGGUUGGAAAGUUUCGGCGGUUGGGGAUGGACUCGCGGAUUAUCAGCUUGUUGGUGGGGUAGUGGCUUACCAAGGCUUUGACGGGUAGCCGGCCUGAGAGGGUGACCGGCCACAUUGGGAAUGAGAUACGGCCCAGACUCCUACGGGAGGCAGCAGUGGGGAAUAUUGCAAAAUGGGCGGAAGCCUGAUGCAGCAACGGAGCGAGCGGGAUGACGGCCUUCGGGUUGUAAACCGAUUUCGCCUGUGACGAAGCGUGAGUGACGGUAAUGGGUAAAGAAGCACCGGCUAACUACGUG